GGGCGGGGGGGCGGGCUAUACAUGCAGUCGAGCGAAUGGAUUAAGAGCUUGCUCUUAUGAAGUUAGCGGCGGACGGGUGAGUAACACGUGGGUAACCUGCCCAUAAGACUGGGAUAACUCCGGGAAACCGGGGCUAAUACCGGAUAACAUUUUGAACUGCAUGGUUCGAAAUUGAAAGGCGGCUUCGGCUGUCACUUAUGGAUGGACCCGCGUCGCAUUAGCUAGUUGGUGAGGUAACGGCUCACCAAGGCAACGAUGCGUAGCCGACCUGAGAGGGUGAUCGGCCACACUGGGACUGAGACACGGCCCAGACUCCUACGGGAGGCAGCAGUAGGGAAUCUUCCGCAAUGGACGAAAGUCUGACGGAGCAACGCCGCGUGAGUGAUGAAGGCUUUCGGGUCGUAAAACUCUGUUGUUAGGGAAGAACAAGUGCUAGUUGAAUAAGCUGGCACCUUGACGGUACCUAACCAGAAAGCCACGGCUAACUACGUGCCAGCAGCCG
rnacentral:rRNA from 1 species